AAACUAAAUAGGCAAAACUAGAGAAAUUUAGUGACGCAAAGCUAUAGGGACUAAGACUUAUGAAAUGAGUUAUGUCAGCCAGUUGCCAAA
rfam:Clostridium difficile 630 complete genome